UGCACAGGAAACGUCUUGAGGGGAGAGCGCCAAAGAGCCACAUUCUCACGAGAGGCUGUUAAGGGGUCUGAGCUUCGUGAAGCGAGGUCUUCAGAAACUCUCCAGGGGCGAUGUACGAAAAGAACUUCGGUCGUUUUCCCGUCAGGAGGAGGAGGCUGGCGCAUUUCGCUCUGUUUCUGCUUCGAGGUGAGUCAGUGGCAAGGGAGCCUCUUGAUAAAGUCGGGCUCUUGUUGUAUUAAUG